rnacentral:lncRNA from 10 species
UCUUGAUUAUAUGCUAAACAAGGGAUGGAUUAUUUAUGCCUCCCAAUUUUAGACAAUAUAGGAUAGCUUCCUAAUGUUUCCAUAUUUGUAAGCUGUCAUGACACUUGUGGGAGUGUAGCAGUGAGGGCAAUCAGAGGUCACUCUCGUCACAUCUUGGUUUUGGUAGGUUUUAUUUGACUUCUUUAUUGCAACCUGUUUUGUCCACAAGGUCUUUAUGACUUGUAUCUUGUGCUGACCUUCUUUCCUACCCUGUUACUUAGAAUGCCUAACCAUCCAGGAAUGCAGCCCAGUCAGUCUCAGUCCUAUUUUACCCAGCCCCUAUUCAAAAUAGAUGUGCUCUGGUUCCUCUGACAUCUCCCCCAUCUUUUUCACAAGGGCACACUUAAUCCUGAGGGUUGUAGAGGGAUGAAGAUCCAUUUUCUGUAACUACUUCAUGCUGAAUAGGGGUGAUGAUAUUUUUGCCUAACUAUUCAGUUUUCUUG